CCCAACACUUCAUGGAACGUCGCAUUAAGAGGCAGCAAGCGCCUGCCUGCUCACUUAACACACACUCAUUUAAGAAGAGCGAGAUCUUACAAGGGGGAGACGGAUGGCAAAAUCAACAAUCUGUCUGAGAGGUGGGAGGAAAUCAGAGAAUCCAGAGGAAACCCACACGGACACGAAGAACACACGAAACUCCACGCCGACAGUAAUCUGAGCUCAGGAUCAAACCACGGACCCUGAAGCUGGUUAAGCAGUAGAGUCGUGACUGCAGUGCCGUGAUAUCCGUGUAUCACUGUCGACAGCAUCUCCUCCGGCUUUCUUUUCCCUCCACAAUAGCUUAAUUGUUAGUUUGGACGCCCACUCGAUAGAUUAAUGAAAUGAAAGGAGGCACGGAAAUGAAUGAGGGGAAGAAGAAAAAAUGUCAUAAACGAAUAAAUCAAAAGACUUCUGCGUUCGUCAGUCGUUUAAUAAAUGAAACGCUGUUAAAUUACCGACCGGUGUUUCUUCAGAAAAUACAAGUUAUCUAACUUAAUGCAAGUUAAGAGACUGAGAUUUAUUUACGAUUUUAGCCUGAAGACUUGCACUUCAAGGCUUCUUCAAAAGAAAGGGCAAGUGGA